CCCCAAAUGAGGGUUUUGACCCCAAAAUUUGGGGUUGUGAUUCCUGAAUGGGGGGGGUUUUGACCCCAAAAUGGGGGGUUUUGAGCCCAAAAUAUGGGGGGGUUUCUGACCCCAAAAUAGGGGGGUUUGACCCCAAAAUAUGGGGUUGUGAGCCCAAAAUGGGGGGGAUUGACCCCAAAAUGGAGGAUUUGACCCCAAAAUAUGGGGUUGUGACCCCAAAAUGGGGGGUUUUACCCCAAAAUAGGGGGUUUGACCCCAAAAUAAAGGAGGUUUAACCCCAAAAUAGGGGCGGUGACCCCAAAAUAGGGGAUUUUUAAUCCCAAAAAAGGGGAUUUUGACCAUAAAAUUGAGGGGUUUGACCCCAAAAAAGGGGAUUUUGACCCCAAAGAAGGGUUUUACUCCAAAAUGGGAUUUUUGACCCCAAAAAAUGGGGUUUUGACCCCAAAAAAUGGGGUUU